rnacentral:lncRNA from 1 species
ACGGCCAGCAGCGGGCAGCAGCUGCCGGCCUUGCGGCAUCAUCAUCAUCACCAUCAUCAUCAUCAUCAUCAUCAAGUAAUGAAAAGAGACCCAUACGAGGAAAAAAGUGAUGUCGUUGAAGUGUUGUUGUCCCUCUUCAAGAGGGAAGAGAUGCGCGAUGUUGCCUGUUUUGGGGUCCGGUGUAUCUGUUUACUUGUUUUCGGAACACAGCGCUUUCAAUGCCACUUACUGACCCGUGGGUCCUGACCCAUGCUUGCUUGGCGAUUGUGAGAUGUGGUGCUAUUCUUGCGGUGAGGGUAGAGAUAUCAGUCAUUCGGCACUUGCGUGCUGCUGCCACCACCACCACCACCACCAACAACAACAACAACAACAACAACACGAGGGCAGGCCGCAGUCCAGCCGCCGAUUUCCUUACCUGCAGCCCACAUAAAGCAUAAACACGCCGUCUGGUAUCGGCGGAUAACCCCCGGGGCCCGCCCCCCCCCACCUUGCUGUGCGUGUUCCUUUCGGCACCGAGGGCGGGGUGUUGCGUCUACCUCCCCCCACCCCACCCCACCCCACCCCACUGGUGCCCGCUGCCCCGCGGCUUCACGACGGGGGGAGGGGUUACAACGCAAAGAAUAAAGGUUUUGAAUUACCCGACAGUUGGGUCGGGUCUAGGAUAUGCUUCCGUAGAUUGUGGGGUUGUGGGGAGAGGUACAAGGCUCUUGAGCAUCUGAGCCCCCUCGUUGCCCCCUGCGUAUUAUGUAGGUUCCAUCGUACGUACGGCCUCUCGCUAACUCUUAUCCCAUGACAUGUUGCUACCGCUACUCCCCCCCCACCGUCAUCCGCACGACUUGCUUACAUACAUCUGUACAUACAUACACACACACAGGGGAGACGCUGGCGGCGGCGAUCAUCACGAGCACCUGGACAGAGUGGCUCAGGAGAAGGUACGACAUGCACGGUUGUCGUACGUACGGCUGCCUGGCAUCCAUCCAGCGCCAGGCAGGGUAUGGAACGGAGACGUACUGACCUUCCUUCAGGUGUCGACCUCCCGUCUUGUGUGCUCGGCAGGACAGCGGUCUUGUUGCGGGAAUCCCGAACAUUACCCUUUCUCUUCCUCUUCCAUGAAAAUCCGAACAACGGUUUUUCUUUGUUUGGAGAGUCCAGGAUACCCCCAGCUACUCCCGAGCGCUCUCGAGUACCUGUCUGUGUGCAGUAGCUGCCGCUGCUGCUGCUGCUGCUGCUGCUGCUGCUGCUGCUGCUUGCAUGCUCGCCCCUGCUGCUCUCCUCUGUCCUCCUCCUCCAUCCAGCCAGCCCACCUAAACGUUACAUGUUGUACCCUUCAUACAAUGUGUGUACACCAGGAAGGGUGCAACCAUUCAUACAAUAAUCUCACCGCACCCUCCUUUUCCCCUCCUCGCAAUGUGUCGGCCAUGUAUGUAUGUAUGUAUGUGAUGUGACCCGUGGCGGUCUUUUCGCAGUUCGGUAAGAACUUCGAGGAGCUGGAGCCCAUGCAGCGAAUCCAAGUGGGGGGCACCGUGGGUGGCCAGGUGGGUGCGCGUGUGUGUGUAUGUGUGUGUGUGUGUGUGGAGGUGCCCAUGAGGAGGGUGAUGGGGUGGAUUGGGGGGCCCCUUGUUGCUUAGGCGGCUAGGGAGGGGUGAUGUGAGCGGGUGAGGUGUGAUGUGUGAGCGGAUGGUCGUAGAAGGUCAAUAAUAGUAGGUGCCUUCCUCUCGUUCACCCAUCCCCCCCCCCACACACACACACGCGUGUUUUUCGUGUGCACGCGAUUUUGUGCCAGGGGUGGCCCCGGGUUUGGGGAGGGGGGAAGGCUGGUGGGUAUGAGACAGCAACAGUCGUUGGUGAACCCGGGAUAUGCGCGCGUGGAGAGGUAUGGGGUGAGGGUUUGGGAACGGCGUCCCUCGCGACGGGCCCGGAAGGUCGGAGACGGACGGAGGGGUAGAGGACGCGGGCGGUUGCGACGCGAGGGGUCUUCUUUCUCCAAUUCCAAGUACGAAGGGCAUCAUGUGAAGAAUGUGUGUGUGUGUGCGUGCGUACUAGAGCAACCCCUGCCUAGUUAAGGGAGUUAGCUAAACCACUAAACACAUCCUCCAUACAACCGCGACACGCAGGCUGGCGGUCUGUACACGGGCACCGGUGGGGAUGAGUGAGCGAGGGAGACCGGGACGGGCGGAUGAGGGCAUGGAUAGCUGGAUGAGGGGCACAGCAGUACUCCCCCCAAACCCCAAACACAGUACUUGGCGGUCACCAGUACUUCGCAGCGGACCCCGCAGCGGUUUCGAGGAGGAUGGGGUUCCUGGAGGAGGUCGCUAUUGCUAACUAACUGCUAAUUAGUUGUGCUGUGUGUACCACAAAUAGUUGGGACGUUGCGGUGGCAGGCAGGGAUGUGAAUGGGGAUUGCUUUUUGACGAUUAUGCG